GGUCGAUGAUGAUUGGUAAAAGGUCUGAUGCACUGAACGUCACCGUCCUCUCCUGGCCUCAGCUCCCAGCAGCCCGUCGUGUUUCCUGGUACAGUUAAGUCAUGUGCACGGGGCAGCGGGGCAGCUGACACGCAGGGACCCUGUUGGCGUGUGUUCCUGAGAGAGAGCGGUUCACGGCCUACCCGGGUCCAACAUGACCUCUUGCACAGGAGCGUGACGAGGGCUGGAGGGCGUGACAGUGCAUGAUCUCAAGUUUUCAAUCUGAGACC
rnacentral:snoRNA from 1 species